GGGCCAUUAGCUCAUCUUGGUAGAGCACCUGACUCUUAAUCAGGGGGUGGGAGGUUCGAGUCCUCCAUGGCCCA
rnacentral:tRNA from 1 species